rnacentral:rRNA from 1 species
CAGAACGAACCUUGGCGGCAGGCUUAACACAUGCAAGUCGAACGGUUGUAGCAAUACAGCAGUGGCAGACGGUUUGAGUAACACGUGGGAACCUUCCUAGGGGUACGGAACAACUCAGGGAAACUUGAGCUAAUACCGUCAACGUCCGUAAGGAGAAAGAUUCAUCGCCCCUAGACGGGCCCGCGUAGGAUUAGGUAGUUGGUGAGGUAACGGCUCACCAAGCCUACGAUCCUUAGCUGAUCUGAGAGGAUGAUCAGCCACACUGGGACUGAGACACGGCCCAGACUCCUACGGGAGGCAGCAGUGGGGAAUCUUGGACAUAUAGGGCGCAAGCCUGAUCCAGCCAUGCCGCGUACGAGGUGAAGAAGGCAAUUCGGGUUGUAAAGCUCUUUUACCAGGGACGAUAAUGACGGUACCUGGAGAAUAAGCCCCGGCAAACUUCGUGCCAGCAGCCGCGGUAAUACGAAGGGGGCUAGCGUUGUUCGGAAUUACUGGGCGUAAAGCGCACGUAGGCGGAUUGUUAAGUCAGAGGUAUAAUCCCGGAGCUCAACUUCGGAACUGCCUUUGAUACUGGCAAUCUCGAGUCCGGAAGAGGUUAUACUAGGGAAUUCCCAGUGUAGUACUGAAAUAACGUAGAUAUUGGGAAGAACACCAGUGGCGAAGGCGGCUAACUGGUCCGGUACUGACGCUGAUAUCAGAAAGCGUGGGGCAUAGAGAUAAACAGGAUUAGAUACCCUGGUAGUCCACGCCGUAAACUAUGGGUGCUAGCCGUCAGGGAAGCUUGCUUUUCAGUGGCAGAUUAUUAAGCACCCCGCCUGGGGAGUACGGUCGCAAGAUUAAAACUCAAAGGAAUUGACGGCAGUACGCACAAGCGGUGGAGCAUGUGGUUUACCAUAGAAGCAACGCGCAGAACCUUACCUACCCUUGACAUGUCUAGUAUGGGUUCCAGAGAUGGGAUUCUUCAGUUCGGCUGGCUAGAACACAGGUGCUGCAUGGCUGUCGUCAGCUCGUGUCGUGAGAUGUUGGGUUAAGUCCCGCAACGAGCACGAUAACCUUUAGUCCCCAUCAUUUAGUUGGGCACUCUAGAGGGCCACAGUGCGGUGAUAAGCCGGAGGAAGGUGGGGAUGACGUCACAGUACCUCAUGGCCCUUACGGGUAGGGCUACACACGUGCUACAAUGGUGGUCCAGUGGGCAGCGACACAGCAGUAUGUGAUGCUAAUCUCAAAAAGCCAUCUCAGUACAGACAGAUUACUCUGCAACUCGAGUACAUGAAGUUGAAUCGCUAGUAAUCGUAGAACAGCAUGCCAGUGGUGAAUACGUUCCCGGGCCUUGUACACAGAUCGCCCGUCACACCAUGGGAGUUGGUUUUACCUGAAGUAUGUGUUCUAACCCGCAAGGGAGGAAGCCGGCCACGGUACAGAUAUUCGACUGGGGUGAAGUCGUAACAAGGUAGCCGUAGGGGAACCUGCGGCUGGAUCACCUCCUUUC